AUUGAACGCUGGCGGCAUGCCUUACACAUGCAAGUCGAACGGCAGCACGGGGGCAACCCUGGUGGCGAGUGGCGAACGGGUGAGUAAUACAUCGGAAUGUACCCAGUAGUGGGGGAUAACUAGUCGAAAGAUUAGCUAAUACCGCAUACGCACUAUGGUGGAAAGCGGGGGAUCGCAAGACCUCGCGCUAUUGGAGCAGCCGAUGUCCGAUUAGGUAGUUGGUGGGGUAAAAAGCCUACCAAGCCUGCGAUCGGUAACUGGUCUGAGAGGACGACCAGUCACACUGGGACUGAGACACGGCCCAGACUCCUACGGGAGGCAGCAGUGGGGAAUUUUGGACAAUGGGGGAAACCCUGAUCCAGCAAUGCCGCGUGUGUGACGAAGGCCUUCGGGUUGUAAAGCACUUUUGGCGGGAACGAAACGGCGCUUUCUAAUACAGAGUGCUAAUGACGGUACCCGCAGAAUAAGCACCGGCUAACUACGUG
rnacentral:rRNA from 1 species